GCCAGGCACAGUGGCACAUGCCUAUUGUCCCAGCUAGUAGGGAGGCUGAGGCUGAAGGAUCGCUUGAAUUCAGGAGUUCUGGGCUAUAGUACACUAUGCUGAUCGGGUGUCCGUACUAAGUUCAGCAUCAUUAUGGUGACCUCCUGGGAGCUGGGGACCACCAGGUUGCCUGAGGAGGAGUGAACUGGCCCAGGUUGGAAACGGAGCAGGUCAGAACUCCCGUGCUCAUCAGUAGUGGGAUCUCGCCUGUGAAUAGCCACUGCACUCCAGCCUGGGCAACAUAGCAAGACCCCAUCUCU
rnacentral:SRP_RNA from 1 species